rnacentral:snRNA from 1 species
GUGCUGGCUUCAGCAGCACAUAUACUAUAAUUAGAAUGACAAAGAGAAUAUUAGCAUGGCCCCUGUGCAAGGAUGACACACAAAUUCAUGAAGUGUUCCAUAUAUAA